GACAGAGGGUGCAAACGUUGUUCGGAAUUACUGGGCGUAAAGCGCGUGUAGGCUGCUCUGUGUGUCGGAUGUGAAAGCCCCGGGCUCAACCUGGGGAGUGCACUCGAAACUAUAGAGCUGGAGUCUCGGAGAGGAUCGCGGAAUUCUCGGUGUAGAGGUGAAAUUCGUAGAUAUCGAGAGGAACACCGGUGGCGAAGGCGGCGAUCUGGACGAUGACUGACGCUGAGACGCGAAAGCGUGGGGAGCAAACAGG
rnacentral:rRNA from 1 species